rnacentral:rRNA from 1 species
GACGAACGCUGGCGGCGUGCUUAACACAUGCAAGUCGAACGGAAAGGCCCUGCUUUUGUGGGGUGCUCGAGUGGCGAACGGGUGAGUAACACGUGAGUAACCUGCCCUUGACUUUGGGAUAACUUCAGGAAACUGGGGCUAAUACCGGAUAGGAGCUCCUGCUGCAUGGUGGGGGUUGGAAAGUUUCGGCGGUUGGGGAUGGACUCGCGGCUUAUCAGCUUGUUGGUGGGGUAGUGGCUUACCAAGGCUUUGACGGGUAGCCGGCCUGAGAGGGUGACCGGCCACGUUGAGACUGAGAUACGGCGCAGACGCCUACGGGAGGCAGCAGUGGGGAAUAGUGCACAAUGGGCGGAAGCCGGAUGCAGCAACGCCGCGUGCGGGAUGACGGCCUUCGGGUUGUAAACCGCUUUCGCCUGUGACGAAGCGUGAGUGACGGUAAUGGGUAAAGAAGCACCGGCUAACUACGUG